rnacentral:lncRNA from 1 species
UUAUGCUAAUUGGCCUGUGGGCAGGCCAAAUUUUAUGGGGGGUGCAGGAGGUAGUGCUGACCCAAAUGAGGAGAUGGAAGAUGUUCUCGGAGGUGUAGGUGGUGAUGAAGAGGAGGAGGAUUGAAUUUGUGGAGUUUUGAAGAGAAUUGUUUGUUUGAAUUUCUUUUGACUAAUUCUGUUUUUUUUUUUGGGAAUUUUGUAAUGUACUUUUUGGUGGCUCUAGUUCACCGUGACUUUAUCUUAGCACUUUAAUUUUUCUUUAGUAUUUUUAUAAUUGCAUGAGUACUUUUUGAAAUUUAAGUGUGUUUUUAAUCAAAUUGGUUUACCAACAGUUCUAUUUAAUUGUUCUUACGCUUAAGUCAAGCCUAAAGCAACCAAGAAUUGUUCGCAAAGAAAGAAGCAUAGGAUACUUCGAGUGGUGAUGAUAAGAAUUAGUGUCGGCAUUUCAAGGUACACUUUAUCGCUUUCUAGACUUAACAUGAGUAGUUUGAUGGUGUGUGCAAAUUCCAUUUCAUAAAUUCAUUGAAGUAUAUGUCAGUUUUGAAUCAAAAUAGGACUUAACCAUUUGUGAGGAAACUUUCCAUUGUGCACUAAAAAAGCGGGAAACUGAGCAUUAUUUUGACUCAUUCUUAUCAUGCUAAAUCAUGCAUCAAUCUAAUGUUGUGUGAAAUUUUUGAAAAUGAUAGAGGCAAUUUUUGUGAGAAAAACCACUUGACCAAAAAGCUUAAAUCAACGAACCUUGUGAGGAGUAAUCCUUAGUUAACCCCCUUUGAGCUUGUUAGGAUUCAUUUGAUUGAUCAUUGUAAAAUCAAUUGAAAAUUGUGGAAUAAAUGAAUCCUAAUUUCUUUCGUAUCAGUUGAAACCUCAAACCGAGUUGUUUGCAAAAUUUUUGCCUUUUGCUUAUGUUUA